UAAUACGUAGGGAGCAAGCGUUGUCCGGAAUCAUUGGGCGUAAAGCGCGCGUAGGCGGCCCUGUAAGUCCGUUGUGAAAGUCAAAGGCUCAACCUUUGAAAGCCGAUGGAUACUGCAGGGCUAGAGUCCGGAAGAGGCGAGUGGAAUUCCUGGUGUAGCGGUGGAAUGCGCAGAUAUCAGGAGGAACACCAAUAGCGAAGGCAGCUCGCUGGGACGGUACUGACGCUAAGGCGCGAAAGCGUGGGGAGCGAACAGGAUUAGAUA
rnacentral:rRNA from 1 species